AAUUUAAACACCAUAAUGUACAUACAGUAUUAUUGUAUACAUAUAGAAGCAUUUUCUUAAGUCAAUAAUUUCUCAAAGAUCAUAUUAAUAUUUCAGGAAAGUUCACACCAGAUCUGCUACAGCAAACUGAACAUAAAGUGGCAUACUUGUGUGUCAGGAAACAAGGAACAUGUAUGGCUGGACUGAGAAUCUAACUGGGGAUCCCUGCAUCACUAGUUACAUAUCCCAUGGAAUAAAGGAUCCAUGGCUAAUCAAGUGUCGAUCAUCUGCAGUGUUACAAAAGAAUAUUGGAUUUAUAUCAAUAAGAAAAAGAACUACCAGAAGGAGACGGUAAAGCGGAACGGACAUAUCACACCAUAAGACGUGCUUCACAAUCUGAAUAUACAGAGUGAAUUUUGCUUGCUGCAGAUCCUUGUGAAAGAAUACCUUUGUUGUAUUGACAUAAAAACAACGGAAUUUUGUCAGGAUCAUUGAACAUGACGCAACUGGCUGCAUACGAUGGCAAUAAAAGAUGCAUACAUGUUUACAUUGAACUUUGUUAGCCAAUAAGACAAAAAGCAAUAUAGCAAUUUUAUCCUAUUACCGUACAUGUACUGAAUGUAUUCACUUUAUUUUGUUGAACUACAUCAUGAGUUUGAAAAUUGUACAGUAUCACAUACAGUUUAUGGUGGGAUUCUUCUAACUUUUAUGAAUCUGUUUGCAAAAUCUAUACUUUAAAGUUACAAAUUAUUACCUCUAAUACAUUGUAUGUUUUUUUUUUUUUAUAAAUUAUUACACUAUUUUUGUAUGUAUGUAAUGAUAACCAAAUCACCCAAUUUUCCUGCACUUUUUACCAUUUAUUUAGCAUAUUUUUUUACCAUGAUUUAGUAUAUUAAUAUCUGACAACUGAUGACCAGGCAGUCUUCAUUUAACAGUGUAAUAAUGUAUCUUAAUAUUUUUAAAACAAGGAUAACAUGCCAUGGAUUGAUUCUGUGUUCAAAACUUCA